AGAGUUUGAUCCUGGCUCAGGAUGAACGCUGGCGGUCUGCUUAACACAUGCAAGUCGAACGGGAUCNUUCGGGAUUUAGUGGCGGACGGGUGAGUAACGCGUGAGAAUCUGCCCUUAGGUUGGGGACAACAGUUGGAAACGACUGNUAAUACCCAAUGUGCCGAGAGGUGAAAGGUUAACUGCCUGGGGAUGAGCUCGCGUCUGAUUAGCUAGUUGGAGUGGUAACGGCACACCAAGGCGACGAUCAGUAGCUGGUCUGAGAGGAUGAUCAGCCACACUGGGACUGAGACACGGCCCAGACUCCUACGGGAGGCAGCAGUGGGGAAUUUUCCGCAAUGGGCGAAAGCCUGACGGAGCAAGACCGCGUGAGGGAGGAAGGCCUAUUGGUCGUAAACCUCUUUUGAUAGGGAAGAACACAAUGACGGUACCUAUCGAAUCAGCAUCGGCUAACUCCGUGCCAGCAGCCGCGGUAAUACGGAGGAUGCAAGCGUUAUCCGGAUUUAUUGGGCGUAAAGCGUCCGUAGGUGGCAAACCAAGUCAGUUGUUAAAGCGUAGAGCUUAACUCUAUAAGGGCAAUUGAAACUGGUUAGCUAGAGUGCGAUAGGGGCAAGGGGAAUUCCCAGUGUAGCGGUGAAAUGCGUAGAUAUUGGGAAGAACAUCGGUGGCGAAGGCGCCUUGCUGGGUCUGCACUGACACUGAGGGACGAAAGCUAGGGGAGCGAAAGGGAUUAGAUACCCCUGUAGUCCUAGCCG
rnacentral:rRNA from 1 species